GACGAACGCUGGCGGCGUGCCUAAUACAUGCAAGUCGAGCGAAGCGGCGGAUGGGUGAGUAACGCGUGGGUAACCUGCCCUUAAGUCUGGGAUACCAUUUGGAAACAGAUGCUAAUACCGGAUACUAAAGGAUGGACCUGCGAUGCAUUAGCUAGUUGGUAAGGUAACGGCUUACCAAGGCGAUGAUGCAUAGCCGGGUUGAGAGGUUGAUCGGCCACAUUGGGACUGAGACACGGCCCAAACGCCUACGGGAGGCAGCAGUAGGGAAUCUUCCACAAUGGACGAAAGUCUGAUGGGGCAACGCCGCGUGAUUGAAGAAGGUUUUCGGAUCGUAAAGCUCUUUUGUUGGUGAAGCGUUAUUCAACCAGAAAGUCCCGGCUAUCUACGUGCCAGAAGCCGCGGUAAUAC
rnacentral:rRNA from 1 species